AAUACCUAACUGUCUUAAACUAUAAUGUUGGUAUUCACGUUUCAAAGUAUUUUUCCGGAAAUUGGACCUCCCCCUGCUCGUGUUAUUGUAGUUGAAGUAUUAUCAGUGUUGUGUAAUACUAUAUUAUAUUUAUUAUACGGAGAAGUAAUAUUAAGACUUAUACGUUCCUAAAGUUUAUUGGACUCGUCGAUCCGAUGCCAGCAGAUUCCGUGGAAAAACAAUAAGCCGGUCGUAGGUCCCUUUGUCAGUUUGUCAAAGAGGUUUGUAUCGUGAUCAAAUCAAUUAUACGCAAAAUAUUGUUUCUAUGUAUUGGUGAUCAUAAACCAGCUAUGGAAGAUAUUAAAUUUAUUUUUUUUUGAAAAAAUGUUUGAUUUGAACAUUUCGAAAAUAUAGACUAAUUGCGCUGUGUUGUAUCUCUUGUACUUAUUUAUUUACAUGGUGUCUAACAAAGUUUAUACCCAUUGUGAUAUCA